rnacentral:lncRNA from 1 species
CCCUCUCCAUCCAUCCUUAAAAGGGGAGAACAAUGUCAAAAGCCUCAUAUAUGGAAUUGGAGAAGGAAGAGGAGAAGAAGAAGGGGUUAAGAGAAAGAGGACGGAGAAGAAAGGAGAACACUCAUGGGUGGGCUUAGAAGAGGAGGAUGAUGAGGAGAAGUGGGUGAGAAAAAAGAAGAGAAAGGAGAAAAAGGAGUUGCCGGCAAGAAAGGAUGGAGACAGAGG